AUGGAUAUUUUUAUCUCGCAAAUCUAUGUUACAUUUCUCAAUGUUGUUGAGAUGUAAGGAUCAUUUUAGUGAGGAGGAAAGUUGAUUAAAUUUCUUCUGUACAUAAUCAUAAGACUGUUUACCAUGAACAAUGUUAGAUUUAUAGUAUUGUACCAGUUGGAGUUAAGAUCAAUUUUAACUUUGUCAUAGACAAAACAAAAAAGAUAGUGUUUAUUUUUAGACAUGAUGAAAUACUUGCCCACGUGGUGGAUGGGCCUGGUGCAUUUGUACUGAAUACUUACAUAUUUUUAUUGACUCUUACAGAUCAUUUGUUACAUAGUACAAUAAUUAACGUGUUUUGUAAUAUUGAGCUGUACAGCGUUUAUGCUUCGUUGGAGAAUGGUUUAUCCUACCUGGUUACACAGGUAAUGUUUUUUUGUAUAAAAUGACAGAAAAAAUACAGAUAAUAAAACAAUGAGAUAUAC
rnacentral:sRNA from 1 species